rnacentral:rRNA from 1 species
CCUACGGGGGCUGCAGUGGGGAAUAUUGGACAAUGGGCGAAAGCCUGAUCCAGCCAUGCCGCGUGUGUGAAGAAGGCCUUCGGGUUGUAAAGCACUUUCAGUGGGGAAGAAAGCCUUGGGGCUAAUACCCUCGAGGAAGGACAUCACCCACAGAAGAAGCACCGGCUAACUCCGUGCCAGCAGCCGCGGUAAUACGGAGGGUGCGAGCGUUAAUCGGAAUUACUGGGCGUAAAGCGCGCGUAGGCGGUCUGAUAAGCCGGUUGUGAAAGCCCCGGGCUCAACCUGGGAACGGCAUCCGGAACUGUCAGGCUAGAGUGCAGGAGAGGAAGGUAGAAUUCCCGGUGUAGCAGUGAAAUGCGUAGAGAUCGGGAGGAAUACCAGUGGCGAAGGCGGCCUUCUGGACUGACACUGACGCUGAGGUGCGAAAGCGUGGGUAGCAAACAGGAUUAGAUACCCGUGUAGUC